GAGUGGCAACACUCAUCCAGGGCCGGAAAGUCAGUCAAACUUGGUCAUUUAG
rnacentral:rRNA from 1 species